rnacentral:rRNA from 1 species
AACCUCCGCAAUGUGAGAAAUCGCGACGGGGGGAUCCCAAGUGCCAUUCUUAACGGGAUGGCUUUUCAUUAGUGUAAAGAGCUUUUGGAAUAAGGGCUGGGCAAGACCGGUGCCAGCCGCCGCGGUAACACCGGCAGCUCUAGUGGUAGCAGUUUUUAUUGGGCCUAAAGCGUCCGUAGCCGGUUUAAUAAGUCUCUGGUGAAAUCCUGUAGCUUAACUGUGGGAAUUGCUGGAGAUACUGUUAGACUUGAGACCGGGAGAGGUUAGAGGUACUCCCAGGGUAGAGGUGAAAUUCUGUAAUCCUGGGAGGACCGCCUGUUGCGAAGGCGUCUAACUGGAACGGUUCUGACGGUGAGGGACGAAAGUUAGGGGCGCGAACCGGAUUAGAUACCCGGGUAGUCCUAACUGUAAACGAUGCGGACUUGGUGUUGGGGUGGCUUUGAGCUGCUCCAGUGCCGAAGGGAAGCUGUUAAGUCCGCCGCCUGGGAAGUACGGUCGCAAGACUGAAACUUAAAGGAAUU